AGGGAUUGCCCUAGUAACGGCGAGUGAAGCGGCAACAGCUCAAAUUUGAAAGCUGGCCUUCGGGUCCGCAUUGUAAUUUGUAGAGGAUGAUUUGGGGCAGCCGCCUGUCUAAGUUCCUUGGAACAGGACGUCAUAGAGGGUGAGAAUCCCGUAUGUGACAGGACAUGGCACCCUAUGUAAAUCUCCUUCGACGAGUCGAGUUGUUUGGGAAUGCAGCUCUAAAUGGGAGGUAAAUUUCUUCUAAAGCUAAAUAUUGGCGAGAGACCGAUAGCGCACAAGUAGAGUGAUCGAAAGAUGAAAAGCACUUUGGAAAGAGAGUUAAAAAGCACGUGAAAUUGUUGAAAGGGAAGCGCUUGCAAUCAGACUUGUUUAAACUGUUCGGCCGGUCUUCUGACCGGUUUACUCAGUUUGGACAGGCCAGCAUCAGUUUCGGCGGCCGGAUAAAGGCUCUGGGAAUGUGGCCUCCACUUCGGUGGAGGUGUUAUAGCCCAGGGUGUAAUACGGCCAGCCGGGACUGAGGUCCGCGCUUCGGCUAGGAUGACUGGCGU
rnacentral:rRNA from 1 species